AGUGAACGCUGGCGGUAGGCCUAACACAUGCAAGUCGAACGGCAGCACAGUAAGAGCUUGCUCUUACGGGUGGCGCGUGGCGGACGGGUGAGGAAUACAUCGGAAUCUACUUUUUCGUGGGGGCUAACGUAGGGAAACUUACGCUAAUACCGCAUACGACCUACUGGUGAAAUCCGGGGAUCUUUGGACCUUGCGCGAUUGAAUGAGCCGAUGUCGGAUUAGCUAGUUGGCGGGGUAAAGGCCCAACAAGGCGACGAUCCGUAUCUGGUCUGAGAGGAUGAACAGACAGACGGGAAGUGAGACACGGUCCAGACUCCGAGGGGAGGAAGCAGUGGAGAAUAUUGGGCAAGGGGCGAAAGGCGGAUCCAGGCAUACCGCGUGGGUGAAGAAGGAGUACGGGUUGUAAAGCCAUGUUGUUGGGAAAGAAAAGAAGCAGGUUAAUACGGGGCGGUUAUGACGGUACCCAAAGAAUAAGCACCGGCUAACUUCGUG
rnacentral:rRNA from 1 species